AAGUCGUAACAAGGUUUCCGUAGGUGAACCUGCGGAAGGAUCAUUAACACGUAUCCACGUAUCAACCCUUUGUGCUCUUUGUUUGGACGUACCCUGUCUUGAGAGUUUAACUAGUGCCUUUUGAGUUGGUGUGAGUGGUUAAUAUAAGUGUCAAAGCUUGUAUUGCUGACUCUUUAGGCCGUGGCCGCCGCCGGGCCUGGGAAGUGGGUGCAAACCUACCCCCAGGUUCAGCUGUCGCGUCCACAAGUUUUACUUUCUACCGUUACAGGGUCUUUUUUAAAUGUUAACCAUUCGGCAUUGCCUUUAUUAAACCAACCCCUUUGUACAUCUUACUAAUCUUAAUGUUGAUUGACCCUUUCAUUAGGGCCUUUCAGUAUUACGAAAUGCUUGACAACUCUUAGCAACGGAUAUCUUGGUUCUC
rnacentral:misc_RNA from 1 species